GAAACUUACAAAUACUCCGAAAGCAGGUGAGGUGGUGAAUGGUGGAGUGGUGAGAGGCUUGAGAGAGAGAUUGUAUGGAAGAAAGUUGUUGAUGAAAAUUAUGCGUGGUGAGAUUAAACGUCGAUAAGUCAAAUCAACGCAAACAUACGAUCUCAUAAGAUUAACACUUCCAACUUUACCCAGAAAGCUCCUAUAAAUAAUUCGAAAGAACGUUAAGGUGUGCGUGGGAAAUAGUGGAAGGGAGUACAUUUGUAAUUAUAAGACGUGUUGAAGAAAUGAAUGGUGCAGUGAUUGGAGGCGUGAGAUGGCGAGAUUGUAUGGAAGGUUAGUUAAAUAGAUUCCUGGCGAGAUUAAUAACGUAAAGGUGUGCGUGGGAAAUAGUGAAAGGGAGAACAUUUGUGAUUAUAAGAAGUGUUGAAGAAAUAAAUGGUGCAGUGAUUGGAGGCGUGAGAGGGCGAGAUUGGGUUAGUUAAAUAAAUUCCUGUUGAGAUUAAUAAGGAAAUAGUGAAGCGACGUGAGAAAUAAUGACAGUGAGUAAAGACAUGAUCAGAGAAGUGUUGAAUAAAACGAUGCCUGGUGCGAGAAAGAAAUAGAAAGAAUAAAGAGUCUGCUCGGAACAGUUUAUGUAAGAGAUUAUGUUUACUGUUGGUGUUUAACUAAUAUCGUAUAGAAGAACCUGAAAGAAAUGGACGUUUAAUUGGAUCUAAAUAUAUAAAAACUUUGAUGUUACGAGACUGAGUGACAACGAGAUCUUACUUAUCACAUAAAAGAACAUGAAAUAAAAGCGACGUUGAAAUAGAUAUCAAUACGAAAAAAAGUGAUGUUACGCAAUUUGAAUAGAUAAAUACGUAAAUAAAUGAAUAAAUAAGGUUACAGAACAACGCCCAUAGAACUUAAAAAGAAGAAAAACAAGAGAACAGCGGGAAAUUUAAUUAUAUCAGAAACUAAACGAGAGAGAGAGAGAGAGAGAGAGAGAGAGAGAGAGAGAGAGAGAGAGAGAGAGAGAGAGAGAGAGAACAAAUAAUCGCUAUGGUACUCCCUCGCUUUAGCCUAGUCUGAUGUCAGUGUCGUGGUCGCAGAGUUUCGAACCCUGUGUCUAUAUGUUGUGAAGGACCAAUAGAAACAGACAGACCAAGAACCAUCCACACACCACACCAAAACAAACAACCAGACUACCAAACCAACCUAGGAACCCAAAUCAUACCCGUACCAAACAAAAUAUACCAAACCAAACCAAAAUUAAACUAGACAUAACAAUUCAAACGACUUCAAACUACAGAGACACACCACACCAAACCACAAACAACCAUACUAACCAAGGCAACCACACUAAACAAGCCAUACCAAGCCAUACCAAACUACAGAUAAGCCUUACCAAACUACAUCAAAUUAUAGGGAAACCUUACCAAACCACGCUAGACUAUAGAAAGGUCAUACCACAUACACCAAGCUAUAAAGUAACCAUAUCUCAAACCAUACCAGACUACAGAUAAGCCUUACCAGACCACAUCAAACUAUAGGCAAAAUUAACUACACCAGUCCAUUCUAAACCCCACCAAUCCAUUAUAAACCACAUCAAUCCAUUACAAACCAAACCAGUCCAUUCUAAACCCCACCAAUCCAUUACAAACCAAACCAGUCCAUUCCAAACCAUACCAAUCCAUUUCAAGCCAUACCAAUCCAUUCCAAUCCACACCAAAUCACACCAGACCGCACCCAAAACACGCUAAAUCAUACCAAAGCAUACCAAAAACAAUACUUGAAACAAAAUACUGGAUACGAACAGAAUAUUGACAUUAAACAGUGCUGGGGACGAGCACAGUAUCAGAAACAUAAAAUUAGAUACAAACGCACUACUUGAAACGAACAGUACUAAAAACAGAGAUAUGGGAACAAACCAUUUUUCAACCAAACCUACCAAACGACACACACCCAAACUAACUCAGACCAACUUUUCAAACACCCAACCAUUCAAGCAAAGUGACCCUAACCAAGGCUAUACUACUUAGUGCCGCGAGCUGAUGUUAAUAAUAGUUGCUCGAUAUAUAUGAAGACUCGACGUGUUACACAGAGAUAUAAAGACAGAGAUAUACUAACAAAAAGAGCAGAUUAUAGAUAUAUUUUUGGGACUCGUUUAAACAUGUUUCCAGUUUGUUGUUGUUAUUGUCAUUCUAUAUAUCGUUAUUAUUAUCAUUAUUAUUAUUAUUACUAUUAUCCCAAACGCUUGUCACAGCUGCAGAAUGUAAUAAACGCAUAUAUAUACCAA